GGGGGCAACAGGCCUCUUACACCAGCAUGCUUUUCUUUAAAUUUGGCAGACAUACACAGCUGUGGUCCUAAUGUAGCCAUUUUGCUAUCAUCAGCUGCUGGAGCUCCCUUCCUUCCAGCUGGCCACAUUAUUUAGCAGUCACGAGAUCUGGAUGAGACAACUGGUGUGCCCACAUCACGGACAAAAGAGGAGGUUUCCUUAGCAACAUGAAUCAUAUGAAAUCUGUCAGGAGAGCUCUUUCCUUAAAGUCACUCCUUCAGUGGUUUGCACCACACACUGGCUCUCCAUGGACGACAAGGACCUGAUUCAUAAUGCACCUGGUGUGGUAAUGGCUACCUUUCAAAAAGAGCGCUACCACAGGUGCCAACUCUCCGUAAUCUGUAUCAGAAGCUUUGGAGCCAGUCCCUCAGAGCACUGCUUUGUACAUUAAUUAUUAUGGUAAGUCGAGAAGAUCAGCUGACAGCAUGAAUACUCUAAAAGCACACCACCAAGAGUUUAAGCUCUACUUUGUGUAUGCUGGAUUGGGCCCUAAAUCAUCAUCCCUUUGCACCUCUUCCUGUUGUGCUCUGGCUGUUCAGCACCCAGUAGCCAUCCUGACUAGGUCUGCUAAGCCCUACUGUCAUGCAGAUAAAUUACACUAUGGAGCUCUUUAUUGACACUCAGACGCUACUGUUUUGACUGCAAGCUGGAAACAGAAAACAAUGCACUAUAGCAAGAAGAGAGACUUUCUUCAGGUGACCAAAAGUGCCACCGAAAAGAAGAGACAGCCACAAUCUAGUCUCCUAUCAACGUGAAAUAGCAGAAAGUUAAGCUGGUCUCCCAGUAAUAGAAAUUAGAUCUGUCGUGUCUUGUAUGAUUUGUAAAAUUACAAUCUCCCUGGAUGAUAAAUAACAUGAGUGUGUUGUUGUUCAUAACAUUGUCCAUUGAUGACUUAUACAAUUAUAAACCAUUAGUAUUUAGGAUAUAAAAGUUAUCAUCUUUACUUUCUUAAAAGCUUAUAUGUCUCUUCAUUAGGCUAACCUUUCCUUAAGCAAGAAAAAAUAGAAAGGUGCGCUGUCUGUCUCUGUCUCUCUCUCUGAAAAAACAAUCAAUUUCCUAGGGAGAAAGGAAAAAAAUAUUGUCCUCUUGUCAGACCCCAUUUUGGCUUAGUUCUUUCUUGGGAGGAAUUCAGAUAUUACAGUAAUGGGUGCCUGAUACACAU